rnacentral:rRNA from 1 species
GGUUUGAUCAUGGCUCAGAUUGAACGCUGGCGGGAUGCUUUACACAUGCAAGUCGAACGGCAGCACGGACUUCGGUCUGGGCGGCGAGUGGCGAACGGGUGAGUAAUGUAUCCGGACGUGCUAUUGGCGGGGAUAACUGCGCGGCGUAGCUAAUACCGCAUACGCCCUUCGGGGAAAGCGGGGGACCUUCCGGGCCUCGCACUAUUGGAAGCGGCCGAUAUCGGAUUAGCUAGUUGGUGGGAGUAACGGCUCACCAAGGCGACGAUCCGUAGCUGGUUUGAGAGGACGACCAGCCACACUGGGACUGAGACACGGCCCAGACUCCUACGGGAGGCAGCAGUGAAUUUUGGACAAUGAGGGAAACCCUGAUCAGCCAUCCCGCGUGUGCGAUGAAGGCCUUCCGGGUUGUAAGCACUUUUGGCAGAAGAAACGGCACGGGAUAAUACCCCGUGCAACUGACGGCUUACCUGCAGAAUAAGCACCGGCUAACUACGUGCCAGCAGCCGCGGUAAUGCAGUAAGUGCAAGCGUUAAUCAGAAUUACUGGGCGUAAAGCGUGCGCAGGCGGUUCGGAAGAAAGAUGUGAAAUCCCAGAGCUUAACUGGAACUGCAUUUUUAACUACCGAGCUGAGGGAGUGUGUCGGAGGGAGGGUGGAAUUCCGCGUGUAGCAGUGAAAUGCGUAGAUAUGCGGAGGAACACCGAUGGCGAAGGCAACCUCCUGGGAUAACACUGACGCUCAUGCACGAAAGCGUGGGGAGCAAACAGGAUUAGAUACCCUGGUAGUCCACGCCCUAAACGAUCAACUAGCUGUUGGGGCCUUCGGGCCUUGGUAGCGCAAUAACGCGUGAAGUUAAGCCGCCUGGGAAGUACGGUCGCAGAUUGAAACUCAAAGGAAUUGACGGGGUUACACCUAAGCGGUGGAUGAUGUUGAUGGAUUAAUUCGAUGCAACUGCGAAAAGAAAACCUAUGACGUACGUGUCCCUCUGGAAUCCAAGUUGGAGUGCUGCUCGCAAGAGAGGGCGGAACGCACAGGUGCUGCAUCGUGUGUCGUGAGAUGUUGGGUUAAGUCCCGCAACAGGCGCAACCCUUGUCAUUAGUUGCUACGAAAGGGCACUCUAAUGAGACUGCCGGUGACAAACCGGAGGAAGGUGGGGAUGACGUCGAAGUCUCAUGGCUAUGGGUGGACUACAUCGCUGUGGUGGGGACAGAGAUUGGCAACCCGCCAGGAAGACCAAUCGAAAACCCGACCGUAGUCCAGAUCAGUCUGCCGCUCGACUGCCGUGAAGUCAGAAUCUGGUAAUCGCGGAUCAGCAUGUCGCGGUGAAUGGAUUCUCCCGGGUCUUGCUUCCCUGCCGUCACCAUGGGGUGGUUUACCAGAAGUAGUUAGCUAACCGUAAGGAGGGCGAUUACCACGACUAGGAUUCAUGACUGGGGUGAAGUCGUAACAAGUAA